UUUUUUUUUUUUUUUUGCAUAUCAUAAGAUGCACUGCCCAUUUUUAACUAUUCAGUUUAGGGGUUUUCCACAACACCCCAGAGCUCUGCACCCAGCUACUUUUAGAACUUAUUCAUCACCGCCUGCUCCUGUGCAGUCAUGCCCAGGUCCUGCUCCCAGUCCCAGGCAACCACGAAUCAUGCAGUGUAGGAUCCAGUUUUAAGCUUGGCCAGGUUGUAGUGCACGUGGGCGCUUGCUCCUUUGUUUCAACCUUAUAGUGCUCCACUGUAUGGGUAUACCACAGUCAAUUUCCACUCACCGACACCUGAGCAUGUGGGUCCUCGCCGUUUUGGGUUGAUGAUCCAAUGCUGCUAAGAACAUGGUGUUCGAGUCUUUACGUGGACAUCAUCAUUAUCCAUCAUUUUUGGGUGGAUCAUUUUGUGUGGAAAAGAGCUGCUGGGUCACAUGGCUCAUGUCCUCGAUGUAACUUGCUAAGAAACAGAUGAAUGGUUUUCUAUGGGUUUUAGAGUAGGCAAGACCACCACGGCUGGGAAUAAGAGGUCUAGCUACCCCAAAAGCCAAGAGCCUAUGGCCAGCAGAAAUACCAAUAUCCAUAGACCCAAAGGAGCACAAAUUACAACCACAGAUGAGCUGUUGUUUUACAGGAAAAAGCGAAAGCGAGAGGUACCGAUGAGCUGGGGGGGGGGGGGUUGGAGACGCAGUUGAGUCCUGGGUCUGAUUUGUAAGCCCCACAGAACCCUGCAGAUGACUCAGCCUCUCUAAGCUUCCAAAUCUGCCCUGCAAAUGGGCUUGCGGAGGAUAACAGUACUGCCUCUGCUUUAGAAAACCUACCAGGUUGUAGCUUAUGUGUGUGCUUACGUUUUGGCUUCAGCCUUGUGGUACCUCACUGGACGGGCGCGGCUCAAGUGUUUUCCACUCACCAAGGCAGGGGAAGCCUACUUAGGUGAAACAUGCAGAAAUUAAACAUGUAAAGCGAUUCUAAAGCUCUGUUCUGAUGCUGGCAAAAUGGCUCGGAGGGUGAAGGCACUCGCCACUAAGCCUAUGGCCUGAGUUUGGUCUUCAGAACCCACGUGGUGGAAGGAAAGAACCAGCUCCCAUAGGUUGACCUCCAUGUGUGUGCCAUGGCACAGAACACACACACACACACACACACACACACACACACACACACACAGAGCGUAACAACAACAAUAAUAAAAAGACUGUCUGCCAUAAGUUAGCGUGAGGUGCAGGACCCUCAUCUGCUCAGCCCUGGCUAAUCUGAAGGAAAUGGUUCUGACUUUCAUUUUUGAUGAUGUUUGAACAGGAAAUUCUCCUUUCCUCUCAUUCUAAAAAUAAUGCGUCCUUGUAGAAUAUUCCAAAAACCAUAGGAAAGGGAAGCACUAAGAAGAUAAGGCUCACAUAUACAAUGACUACCAACAGCCUCGGGUAAUAUUUUCAUCUUUAUCUAGGAAGUACCCCGUGCUUUCCCAUGGGGUGUAUGAAGGAAAGUUUAAGUAAGGGGUGGAAUGUGGAGGGCUUGUUUACUUAACCGCUGAGAACCCUGAGAGCUUCUGUUUAGCAAGGGUCUGUCAUGAGUAUCUACCGCAUUAUAGGUUAGGCACACACCUGUAGUCCUAGGGUACAGAGUCUGGGACUGAAGGAUUGUGAGUUCGAAGUCAGCCUGGGCUAUAUAUUGAGACCCUGUCUCAAAAAUAGGCGGAUGGGCAGGAAGAGAGGGUUCAGCAGUUAAGAGUACCGACUGUUCUCAAAGAGGACCUGAGUUGAGUUUUUAGCCCCCAUGUCAGGUGGCUCACAACUCCAGGGAACCCAAUACCUCCUUCUGGGACUCUUUGAACACCUGCAUUUGCACGCACAUACCCUCACAGACUCACAUACGUAAUUAAAAACUUAAAAAUUAAAUGAAGAAAUUAAAAUAUCCGGGUACAUUUUCUUUGGUCAUUAGGUCAGAGUUGUACCCUGUUGGUUUUUAUGUUUCUUCUGCACAGUGGAGCUCAUCAACUGGCUAAAACAGAUGUUUCUGUCUUCCGUGGGAAGGCAGGGCCAGCUUUGCUGGGCUGCUCUAGCUGGGAUCUCUGUUAGGAUGUGGCCACUCUGAGGUUCCCAUGAGGCUGGAGGAUCAAUGCCAAAUGCUCUUGAGUAAUGUGGUCAGAUACUGUGUCCUGUCUUAAUAGGGUCUUUGAAAUCAGAUUUUUAAUAGAUUGACAUCUCUUCUAAUGUUCAAUGUAAUGAGAUUUACAGGCCAAGCCCUGCCCAGCUUCUCUCAGUUACAGAUUUGGGGUUUGCCUUUUGCACACACACAAUGUAUUUUGAUCACAUCCUCCAGCAUAUAGAUUUUUAAUGCCGACCUCUGAAUGGGAGUCUGAGUGUACCAUCAUCUGUGCAGUCUCUCUUGUUACUGCACUCUGAGCUGUCCCCAGGUUAUUUUCCUAAUGUAAACCUUGCAUUCUAUCAAUGUAUGGAAGGAAGCCUUUGGCCACAGCUUGGAUUAUUAAUUAGGGUGGAUUCUUAGAGAUUUGUUGGAUGUGAGUAUAUAAAAGCCUGUGAAGUUUCCAGUAGUGUCUCUAGUAAGGUUUCACUGCCAUGUUCUGCCAGGCCUGCUUUGCCCUUGCUUUGCAAAUUCUCACUGGAUUGCCACCAGAUACAUUGGUGGUGUGAAUAAGAAUGGUUCCUAUAGACGCAUAUAUCUGAAUGCUUGGUCCCCAUUUGGUGGAACUGUUUGGGAGGGAUUAGAAGUUGUGUUCUUGGUAUAUAUGUGUGUGUGCAUACAUGUGUAGAUGUGUGUGUGUGUAUGUGUGUGUGUGUGUUGGGAGGUAUUAGUAAGUGCAGGCUUUGAGGUUUCCAAAGCCUAUAAUAAUAUAAAGCCUCUCCCUGCCUGUGCUUGUCGAUCACUGUGUGAGUUCUCAGUGACUGCUUCCAGCUGCCACACUCCCUGUCACAAUGGUCAUGGACUCUCACUCUCCGAAACUGUAUUCCUCAAUAAACCAUGUCUUCUAUAAGUUGUCUUGGCGAUGGUGUCUCUUCAUAGCAAUAGAAAAGUAAGACACGCUGGGCGUGGUGGCGCACGCCUUUAAUCCCAGCACUCGGGAGGCAGAGGCAGGCGGAUUUCUGAGUUUGAGGCCAGCCUGGUCUACAAGAGUUCCAGGACAGCAAGAAGAAGAAGAAGAAGAAGGAGGAGGAGGAAGGAGGAGGAAGGAGGAAGGAGGAAGGAGGAAGGAGGAAGG
rnacentral:lncRNA from 1 species